rnacentral:rRNA from 1 species
AUUGAACGCUGGCGGCAGGCCUAACACAUGCAAGUCGAACGGAGUGGCGAACGGGUGAGUAACACGUGGGUGACCUGCCCUGCACUUCGGGAUAAGCCUGGGAAACUGGGGCUAAUACCGGAUAGUGUGGGAUGGGCCCGCGGCCUAUCAGCUUGUUGGUGGGGUAAUGGCCUACCCAGGCGGCGACGGGUAGCCGGCCUGAGAGGGUGGACGGCCACAGUGGGACUGGGACACGGCCCAGACUCAUACGGGAGGCAGCAGUGGGGAAUAUUGCGCAAUGGGCGGAGGCAUGAUGCAGCGACGCCGCGUGGGAGAUGGCGGCCUUCGGGUUGUAAACUCCUUUCACCAUCGACGCGGUAGAUGGAGAAGAAGCACCGGCUAACUACGUGCCAGCAGCCGCGGUAAUAC